AUACUCCGGUAUUGAAAAUGCUACAGGUUCCUGGUUUACGCAAAUCCAGUUCUGUGGGGUCACGUAUUGUGACAAAACUGAAGCCAUUGAUACCUGCUAAAGUAAGUGGAUUAAGUAAGAAACUGUCUCCUGUGCAAAAGAGAAAUCAUUGUGACGCUGAAAAUAAGUUGGGACUACAAGCCACCAUUGGUGAACUCUGGAGAAACUUCCAGUUUAAAAGAGACUAUGAAAAGCUCCCUUCCUGUAAAAAGCCAGACCCGCUGUCUCCAAUCAAAGAUAAUAUUCAGCUCACUCCAGAAACAGAAGAAGAAAUCUUCAAUCACCUUGAACGUACUCAUGUUCAGAGAGCUAUAUUCCAAUGAACUGUAUGCUGUGCAAUAGAAUGCAUUUUUAUCACUGUCAAAAUUUCUUUGGGACCUCAUCAGUAUAGAAAAGAUACUUUGAAAAUUAGCUGUACGUUCUAGUCUGAUUACUGAUUUCUCAUCUUGUUUUAUAAAAACUUCUUCAAACAGAGAAUCAGUGGAAAUAAAGGAGGCAUUACACAUACACAUUUUGGCACAACUUUGUCACAAAUAUGUACCUCGUUUUGUUUUUUUUCUUGUGUACCCUUCUAUGGAAAAUAUAAAAAUAUAAUACCUUAGAAGACACAGGACAUGUAACAACUUGCUGGAGUGUUAUUUCAAUGGUAGGUAUGGUGGGAAUCAUUUAUGCAAGAGUACUUUUCUGAGUUUUGUAUUCUUAAGAUUGUUUGUAUUUAACUUCUGUUUUAACUUGUUUAACUUAACUCUAUUUAACUUCUUAGAUUUUGACAUGUUAUAGAGGAGUUUUCUUCAGAAAGGAGCACUAUAAUAUGGAGGUUUCUAUUUAACAUGUAAGCAUAUGACAAAAUAACAUAAAUGUUUUAGUUAAAUAUGGAGUUCUUGGGCUUGAGUGUUUUUUUUUUUUCUUUUAUGAAAGAUGUGCAACAACAUAUUUGUAUGCAUACAUCUAAUAUCUGCAAAACUCUUCCCAAGUUCAGGCUGCCUAUAGGUAGGGGAAAAUUUGAUAGGAAUAAAUAAAUUCAGUUUCAGAAUGGCAGAAAUUGUUAGGUGACAAUGGGACAAGAGAAGUGAGAUAAAAUGUGUCCUAAUGAAAAGAUGAAAGAAAGCUUGGAGAGAGGGAGGGAGAGUUUGGUUUAAAAAGUAGGUGUUAAAAAGAUCGAGGAUAUGAGGAUUAAAAAAAAAAAAAAAAAAGAAUAGGGAUAAGUGAGAGCAGAAAGUAUCCUGGAGAUGUGUUUGUGCUGGUGGGAUUUUAUUAGUUUGCUUUAAUUUGAUAUUCUUGUUACAUAUUUAAUUCUCCAUACAUAAUAUUCUCUUAUCAGCAGGACUUCAAAAUAUUCUUACGAAAUGGAUGGCAUCUCUAUAUCCUGUGAAAAGAGAGAAUCUGGUCUGUAAAAGCUAAAUGUACUGAUGGUGGUCUAAUCAAGCUUCACUUCUGGAAGUGCUGACUAGCCACUUCUGCAGCCAAAAGGAAUCUAAACUGCAAAUGUUCAGUGUCAUAGUGAAUACUUACAACAAUGAGCAUCCUAAUCAAAUAUGUUUUUGAUACUAUAGAUAUCUCAGGUCUGAGAGAAGAGCUUGGUCCUGGUGGAAUGACUGCAGAUUCAGCUUUUAAUACAGAGAGAGAGAGAUGUUUGUUUUAAACUGGAAUGUAAGAGAGCAGAGAGCAUUUUCAGUCUUCAGAGAAGCACCAGUCAGUGAGUAUUCUGUGCUUAUGGAUUUUUGGAUUGUAGUUAAAUACACUUACAUCCAUCAGAGUACAUUGCAACUAAGAACACUGUCAUAAAUUUCAUGAUGUAACAGAUAAACCAGAGUAUGGCUGGGGGGAGUAGCAGGGGAAGAAAAAAGGAGAAAAAAAAAAAAAAAAUUACAUCCUUUACCUUUUAGGGUCUAUAAAAGCUGCCCACCACCAGGCAAUAUUGAGAGGUACAGUCUGACUUUUUCCACCUAGUCCACUGCACAGGGACCGUGUUCAAGAAAGCUUUUUUUAAAGGUGUUUUAUGUUAUAAAUCCAUAAGGUGGCAGAUAGCAACAUGGAUCUGACCGAAGUUUUGUUGGCUACCACCUUUAUUCUUUCUGAUCAGACCAUCUCAUUACCAGCAACUCGAUAGAUAAUUUUCUGACAUUUUAAGUACUUCCUGUCAAGAUACAGGAAGGAAGAGUAAGUCAGAGAUAAUUUCAGUAGACCAAACCAGAUGGUAGUUGCAAUGAUAGCACAGCACAUAAGGGGUUUUCCUACUUGAAUUUCUAAAGGGGGAAAAAAAAAUAAUAAAAAAAAAAAACAACCAAAACCAGAUGUCUGUGGAUCUGAAGCUAUUUUUUUCCCCUCUAAAUGAAUGGAGUUAAUCAUAAAACUGUGUCAGGCCUUUACAACACUCCAAAUUUCUUGUAUUAUCUACUAUUUGUUACAUAGAGUUCUUGAAUUUUAGUUUUCCAAACAAUUCACUAGAUACUUUCUCACCACUUGUCACUUCUGGCUUAAAAACUGAACAAGAAGCAAAAGAAAUUCUGAGAGCUUUCUGCAUUAUUUCUGGUGAGGAAAUACGGCUGGCAGAUAAAUAAAAUAGUUUAUCUAUACUUGUAUUAAAACUUUGGCUGCCAUAACAUAUCUGUGUUACCCAAAGCUUUUAGGUUUGUUAAACAGGGGUUUAACAAAAAGAAUAGCUUUAUUUUUCUGAGUAUAUUAAAGUUGUGCAGGUAAUGGAGGCUUUUAUCUAUCUUUUAAUGAUUUAGUUGUGCACUGCCAUUAGUUAUACUUCUAAAUUGUUUUUUUUCUUUAAAACCAAUUUAAGUUCAGCUUAAGAAAACUGAUCAAAACAUAGUAAGAUAAUUUGAUUGCAUCUCUGGAGCUAAUGUCUCCAAAUGAGUGCUAUAAUCCACUCUAACAUGAGUCUGACUUUCUCUAUUGAACAGAAAUUCAUCUUAACAAUGAGCAGGAAAAAAAGUUUGCUUUGGAAGAAAAACAAGGAUGUUUUUCUGAAAUAGUUGGUAAAACACAAGAAAAUAGACAGCAGUUAAGUUGUUUGUUCAUACCAUGUAGGAGAUCUGUGGAAAAAUAAGCAGUAAGUAAUCUAAAAUUAGAACAGUACAUUCUCUCACACCAGGAAAUAACUGUGCUCUCAGUUUUUCUUGAAAAUCAAAGAAAAACAAAUUUUUUUAGCAAAAAACAUCAAAUUUUUUCUGUAAUCUUUGUAAAAUAUUACGCAAAGUAAAGUGAUACAAUGAAGUAGGAGAUUUUUUAAUAAGUUAAAACAUUUACGCUGCUAGUAUCUAAAGCAUUAAAUAAGACUAUUCUGCCAGAAUUACUAUAAAUCAGAGGUAAUUUCUGGUUUACUAGCAUACUGUAUACAUACCACGCAAUAAAGUAAAACAACUUAAAACUUUCUGGCCUUAAAACCCUGAUCGUGUGUCUGUGUCUGAACCCACUGUUCGUGAGAAAAGACCAUCUCUGAAUUUUAAUUAUCAGCUUAGUUAAGAAAGCUCACUGAACUUACCAAGUGUUAGCAUGUUUGAGGAAAAUGAAGUGAUUCUGGGGUGCAAAUGUUCUAUACAAGAUAUAUAAAAUAAUUCCUCUGUUAUCUUUGACAUAAUUGGUAAGGCUCAGAGUACUGUUUUGGGCACCAUAAUUCAAGAGAAACUCAGACUGGAGAUGGUCCAGGAGGGAGUUUAAGGGAGUAAGAAAAAUGUGCAACAGUCUGGAGGGAGCAGGCGGGAGUGUGGAAUGAAUUGGCAUUGUUUAGUCUAGAGAGAAGACUAAUGAAAGGUGAAACGACAGCCUGUAGAACUGUUACUGCAGAGCAGAAAACAUAAAAUAUAGUUUGGAAAAGAAAUAAUGGAAAAAACAGAUUAAAGUUUUAUUAAAAUUUUUUGUCUACAUUUGGUUUUCAGUUGAAAUGCAAAUACUUGCAAAUAUUGUAGUGCAAGUAAGCUCUGCACAUACGUUUUAACUUCAAAGUCCACUCUAAAAACAUUGUAAACUCUUACUGGGAUCUCUUGAUGAUUUUUAUAUUAAAUAGAUUUCUACAGUAGAUCAGGUCCACUUGAGAUGGUAGGAUUUGAAUUCCUGAAUUGAAGCUGAACAUAAUCUAUACCACUACAAGUAGCAGCAUUCUAUUUUUAUGUGGAUUUUCAUUUGGUUUUUCACACCAAUAGGAAAAUAUUAGAAUAUGAUAAUGGUUCAAUCACACUUUCUCAUUAAGAUUUGUCUUUCUGUAAGCUAUUGAAUUGAAGCAUGAGUUUUGAUCAUGCUAUGUACACUCUGGGCCACUUGCUUAUUUCAAAAACUAAGACAUAGUUUUAGACUUUCAAACCAUAGCUUUUCAGUUGUUCCAAAUCUUUCUUUCCUUAAACAGGAAACUUUUUUUUUCUUUUUAUAACUUUAUUCUUAUAACUUAGAAUGUUUUGGAGUUGAGUUUUCUGUUCUUGUGCUCCAUUCCUGUUCAUUUCUACAGAUUAAUAUAAUAAAUUCAAUGAAAAAAUCUGUUAUAGCUGAAAGCAAGACAUAAGCAAUCCAGGAGAGAGAUGUAGAUACACAUAUAAUUUAAAAAAAUCUUAUAAACUAUAAAUACCAGGAAAUAAAAGAGCAAAGGACAUCUUAGACUCCUAAACUUGAACCUCUGGAACUUCUUACUUCCUAUGUGAAAAGGACUUAAUAAUAUACGUACUAAUCACAUUUACUUUAUUACCUGAUCUUUAGAAGGUCUGUUUAUCUGUGAUCCUAGUCAGAGAAGAUGAAGCUGGACUUUCCUGUUCAGAGUGCUCCUAUACAUCACCAGAAGUGUCAGGUAGAUGGUGUUCUCCCCCAUCAUAAUUGUAUUUUAGCUAAUGCAUCAUAUUUUACUAUCUGCUCUUAUCUUCUUGAGGAUGCAAGUCUGGAGUAUUUACUGUCUUGACAAAAUAUACUGCAGCGCAUACAGUUGUAGAGAGACUUCUGCAUUGCUGUAAACUCUGUCUUUUACAGUGAGAGUUUUCAGCAACCAGGCUUCAAAGCGAAACUAUUAGUAGUAUUGUCCUUGUUUUUAAAAAUCUGAGAAAAACAAAGGACUGAAGGUGGGAGGAUUAGCCACUUUUCUGCAGACCAGUGAUAGAGUCAAAAAAGGCACUCGUGCCUUAAAUUCUAAUCUUGCCUGUAACUAGCACACCGCACUCCUGAAAGUACUUUGACAAACUCUCAGCAGUGAAACCUGGCUAAAGUGCAAGUGUGCAGUCUUUCUACAGUGGGUCAUAGUAGUAGUCAGAAAGGAAUAGUAGAAAACGCCUCAAAACUUCGAUUCAUGACUUACUGUUAUCCACUCACCUUUUAGAGACCUAGGAAAACUCUUGCCUCUCUUGGUGUAUUUUAGGUCCUACACCAGAAAAGCUAAAAUGAGGGAAUAUCAAAUAAUAUGUGCAAAAAGGAAGCAGAGAGGAUGUCCACUAAUUAGGAUUGGGUUUGUGGCGACCUGUUCUAACUGAAGGAUCAAACGUUCAUUAGAUAACCCCUUUCUCCUGUCCUUGAUACUUUUGCCAGUCUAUAACUUUGAAUGAUAAGACAAUAAUCUUGGGAAAGAAUUGCAUUUCAGCAAUAGAAUGAAGACUUAUAUUCUGUACAGUACAAAAUGAAUGGAUGAUGCACAAGAAUGCAUCAGUACUUUGAGUUAUAUGUCUACGGCCGCAUCAUCUGGAGUACAGCUUAGAAAAUUGCUUUUGCAUUUGAGAUGCAUAUCUAAUACUAUCCUGAAAUGGCUGUGGUGAAACUGUCUGAACAUUCCUCAGCUGUACCUGCAUGAGAAGGAAUGCAAAAAUGUUAAAUCUCUCACUUUUAUAUUUGUUGUGAAAUACUGGCAUACUCUUGCAAUCAAAUCAAAUUGUUUCUUUUUUUUAAAUAUCAGAUGGAAAUUUGGAGAAUUUCAAUUACUCACAUAAUUCUCAUGUGUUUCAGACUGAAUGGAUUGAUCUCUAAAUAUGCCUAUGUAUAGUUUACUUCUUCCAUGCUCCAUUUUUAGACUAUUACAUGAGUGGGCAUGUACAAAGCUGGUUGAUUUCUCCUGGUUUCUAGAAUGCCACCUAAGUCAUAUGUACUGUAUUGUAGACAUGAAGAGGAAUACUGUAACAUAACUACAAAGAAAACAAAGACGACUUCUGAAGGGAUGUAUUGUAAUGUUUUUUCAUAUAGCCUCACCCUUAUUCUGCCCUCCAGAGAUAGGGCAUCCACUACUUCUCUAAAUAACACAUUCCAUUACUUCACUGUCCUUACAAGAAAGAUGCAGCUCUUGGAACAAGUCCUAAGGAGAACCACUAAGAUGAUCAGAGAGCUGGAGCACCUUUCCUAUGAAGAAAGGUUGAGGGAACUGGGCUUGUUUAGCUUGGAAAAGAGAAGGCUCCAGGGAGACCUCACUGUGGCUUUCCAAUAUCUGAAGAGGGCAUAUAAACAGGAUGGGCAAUGGCUAUGUAUGAGGGUGGAUAGUGAUAGGACAAUGGGGAAUGGUCUUAAACUGAUACAAAGGAGAUUUAGGUUAG